GUCUCAUUGGUCUAGUUGGUUAUGACGUCGGUCUCAUAGCGCUAUCUAUGACUGUUCCCAGGACAGGUAAUCCGAAGGUCGCCAGUUCGAAUCUGGCAUGGGACA